AGUGAACGCUGGCGGUAGGCCUAACACAUGCAAGUCGAACGGCAGCACAGUAAGAGCUUGCUCUUACGGGUGGCGAGUGGCGGACGGGUGAGGAAUACAUCGGACUCUACUUUUUCGUGGGGGAUCACGUAGGGAAACUUACGCUAAUACCGCAUACGACCUACGGGUGAAAGCAGGGGAUCUUCGGACCUUGCGCGAUUGAAUGCGCCGAUGUCGGAUUAGCUAGUUGGCGGGGUAAAGGCCCACCAAGGCGACGAUCCGUAGCUGGUCUGAGAGGAUGAUCAGCCACACUGGAACUGAGACACGGUCCAGACUCCUACGGGAGGCAGCAGUGGGGAAUAUUGGACAAUGGGGGCAAGCCUGAUCCAGCCAUACCGCGUGGGUGAAGAAGGCCUUCGGGUUGUAAAGCCCUUUUGUUGGGAAAGAAAAGCAGCAGGUUAAUACCCCGCUGUUCUGACGGUACCCAAAGAAUAAGCACCGGCUAACUUCGUG
rnacentral:rRNA from 1 species